rnacentral:sRNA from 1 species
UCGACGUAAUAAAGUUUCGGCGGCGGCCGC